CGAGAUUUCUAUUGGCUUGGCUCCGAGCGACACGUCGACGCCCGAAAUUACGCCCGUUUCUCCGUUGACCAUCACAAAUCCAAAGCCCAAAUUCCAUCCCGCCGGCGACGAUCCUGUCCUGGCCACAUUCGCAGCUUCAAAUCCACACCCAUCCUCAUCCCAUGGCUAUCCGAGCACCGUCGGACAGCGGUGCGCCGCUGCUUUGUCAGGCGGCCGUCGCUCUCUUCCCUCCGCCCUCGCAAAGCCGGCGGCCGCCCAGCGACAGCCUGACGACGCCCCGGCCCCUUCAUAUGUGAUGGUAGAACCUCCUCAAGUGGCGACCGGACGCUAUCACCAGCAGGCCAAGGCAAGGACCCGACUAGAUCUGCGCACGGGAGACCAGGUCGUGCUGUCCCGGCUUUCAAGCGGUUCUAGUACAUGCAGGUUUACUACUUUAUGCAUCAGGCUGCACAGAUUUUGGGUACCAAAUAUCUUUUUGAAUGCUUCAUCACUGUUAUAGUAAAUUGACUGUCUGCAUAGUACACAAUUCUUGUAAUUUACCAGACCUUCGUUGAUCCUGCACAGUAGUAAAUUAACCAUAUAAUUUACUACUUUUUUUAGUGUUGAUUUCACUAGGUUUUACAGUUGUGAUUGAUCUGGAUACUAUCCCAAGAUUACAGGAGUUAGUUGUGUGCUUAACUUGAUCUCCAUGACUACAUUUACAACAACAUAUCUUCUAGAGUCUACCUUCUAAGGAGAUCUCGUCAAGCACAACAACCAGGAGUUUACAAGUUUGUUAGAACAGAAAACUCUAUUCAUCUAACAGCCUCCCUCAAUCGAAGCUCAUCUUUGUUCAAGAGAUUAAGACUGUACUUGAAGUCUUCAAACUUUUGCGGUGGCAUGGCUUUGGUAAAACCAUCAGCAAGUUGAUCUUGAGAUGAAAUAAACCGUAUCUGUAGCUGCUUCUUGGUGACUCGUUCUCCGAUAAAAUGGAAGUCUAUUUCUAUGUGUUUUGCUCUCGCAUGAAACACUGGAUUUGCAGAUAAA